rnacentral:rRNA from 1 species
UGAACGCUGGCGGCAGGCCUAACACAUGCAAGUCGAGCGGAUGACAGGAGCUUGCUCCUGAAUUCAGCGGCGGACGGGUGAGUAAUGCCUAGGAAUCUGCCUGGUAGUGGGGAUAACGCUCGGAAACGGACGCUAAUACCGCAUACGUCCUACGGGAGAAAGCAGGGGACCUUCGGGCCUUGCGCUAUCAGAUGAGCCUAGGUCGGAUUAGCUAGUUGGUGAGGUAAUGGCUCACCAAGGCGACGAUCCGUAACUGGUCUGAGAGGAUGAUCAGUCACACUGGAACUGAGACACGGUCCAGACUCCUACGGGAGGCAGCAGUGGGGAAUAUUGGACAAUGGGCGAAAGCCUGAUCCAGCCAUGCCGCGUGUGUGAAGAAGGUCUUCGGAUUGUAAAGCACUUUAAGUUGGGAGGAAGGGCAUUAACCUAAUACGUUAGUGUUUUGACGUUACCGACAGAAUAAGCACCGGCUAACUC